GACGAACGCUGGCGGCGUGCCUAAUACAUGCCAGUAGAACGCACAGUUUAUACCGUAGCUUGCUACACCAUAGACUGUGAGUUGCGAACGGGUGAGUAACGCGUAGGUAACCUGCCUGGUAGCGGGGGAUAACUAUUGGAAACGAUAGCUAAUACCGCAUAAUAUUAAUUAUUGCAUGAUAAUUAAUUGAAAGGUGCAAUUGCACCACUACCAGAUGGACCUGCGUUGUAUUAGCUAGUAGGUGAGGUAACGGCUCACCUAGGCGACGAUACAUAGCCGACCUGAGAGGGUGAUCGGCCACACUGGGACUGAGACACGGCCCAGACUCCUACGGGAGGCAGCAGUAGGGGAUCUUCGGCAAUGGACGAAAGUCUGACCGAGCAACGCCGCGUGAGUGAAGAAGGUUUUCGGAUCGUAAAGCUCUGUUGUAAGAGAAGAACGGGUGUGAGAGUGGAAAGUUCACACUGUGACGGUAUCUUACCAGAAAGGGACGGCUAACUACGUG
rnacentral:rRNA from 1 species